AAACUAUUUAUAGGAUAAAAUCUAUACCAUUUUAGUAUAAAUGAGAUUUAUUCGUUGCUCAGUUUAAACAGUAUUCCAUCAUAGUAUACAAAUUAAACUACCGAAGAUUUGCGCGGAAGUAUUUUCUCUAGUAUAUUUGGUGUUGACAGUUCGUCAAUAGCGUGUAAAAUAAGCGCUCAUUAAGUACAAAAGUGAAAUUCUUGAACUUAUUCUAGAAUUUAAAAAUGCAUGGCGAUGGUAAACACAUCACUUGCGUGAAAGGCAAUGCCGGUGCAUUGAUGAUGCCAUCUCCAAAAACCAUGAUCGAAUCAGCGGAUAAACUGUUUCUUGGAAGCAGUUGGACUAUGAGAUGCCGCGGUACAUUUCAUCGGGUGCUACGAAACCGAAACGCGUCGGAUAAUGCCGUAUCCAUGAACUUCGAAGCGAUGAGUAAACAAGAGAGUUUUGAGCCUAAUUAAUUUGUUAAGAUUUAGUCGGAUUAAGUUUUAAGAUGUAUUCAGAAAUAUUGUAACGCGAAAUAAAAGCUAAAUUACGAUCAUA